rnacentral:tRNA from 1 species
UAUGUUUUAGUUUACGAGGAACAGGGAUUUUUGGUGUCUCAGGGGAUAGUCUAAUUCUGUCAAACAUAG